UACGUAGGGGGCUAGCGUUGUCCGGAAUCAUUGGGCGUAAAGAGCGUGUAGGCGGUUUGUCGCGUCUGCCGUGAAAAUCCGGGGCUCAACCCCGGACUUGCGGUGGGUACGGGCAGACUAGAGUGUGGUAGGGGAGACUGGAAUUCCUGGUGUAGCGGUGAAAUGCGCAGAUAUCAGGAGGAACACCGAUGGCGAAGGCAGGUCACUGGGCCGCAACUGACGCUGAGGAGCGAAAGCAUGGGGAGCGAACAGG
rnacentral:rRNA from 1 species